rnacentral:lncRNA from 1 species
GUUUGGAAGUAACAGAGGAAAUUGUUAAAGGAAAGUUGCCCUGGGAUAAAUUGUUUGAGCCUACUAACUUUUUCCAUCAGUACAAACAUUACAUUGUAUUGAGUGCAAGUGCAGGCUCAGAAAAAGACCAUUUAAAAUGGGUUGGACUUGUUGAAUCAAAAAUUAGGAUACUGAUUGGUAAUCUUGAGAGGAAUCCUGUUAUCAAACUAGCCCAUGUUAAUCCAAAGUCAUACGCCCCACAAAACACGGAAGAGAAGUAAGGUUUUUUCU